GUUUUGAUCUAACAGCACACUAGAGAAAUUUUGCCACCAUGAUGAAAGCUGUGCUGAUGUGUCUGAUUGGGUCCAUCACUGCCAUACCUGUUCCUCAAGUGGAGGAAAUGCAGUCAGGAAGUGGGGAUUUCUCUACUGCUGAAAACAGAGAUCCAACAACAAACCCUGAGGCUGUUCCCACAGACAGCAGCACCACACUAUCUCUUCUCCACACGUUCUGGCGUUCACCCAGAACAGGACUCAGAGCCGUGGGGGAAAGCUUAAGCUCUGGUCCAUUAUUAUCUGACCAGCUUCUGGAGGUCACUAUGCCACCUAGUGCUGAAGAAGGUGUGAUCCCGACUGUUCCCACUGCUGUGGAAAUGGGGGCUAACAGGCUUACAGAAGCAGAACACUUUAGUCCAAGCCCAGGUCCACCAGAGAGCUGGACAAUGACUACCUCAGGACACCAAAACUCCCGGACUGCUGGUGGCAAGUCUACGGGUUUCCCUUACAGCUCCCAGACCAGUGACUUAAAACCUCAACUUCAGUCCAGGACCAUCCAUAAUGAGACAAACCAGCAACAGGAUGGUUUAACACAUGCACAUCUCCGGGUCCGCCGUGCCGAAGACGUCGCCCAGGACGACGAUGAGGGGGAAAAUGAAGAAGGUGCUGGAGAUGCUGACAAACAGAUGAAAAAGAUUCCCAAAAGAGGCAAAGGAAAGAGAGGUAGAGGUCAGGGGUGGCUAGAAAGGGGGUGGAGAGGACUGGGAUGGGGAGGACUGGGAUGGGGGAGGCAGACCAUUAGACAGGAGAAGAAACCAAAGAAGAGCAAGCUCACAGAUUUCAGCUUUGAGUUUGAUGACUUUGGCCUGCUGGACGAUGACCCCGGUCACCCAAAAGAGGCUCCAGCCAAAACCCCACAAGCGCCAGCUGCCGCUUCCAGCAGUUCAAGCAGUUCAAGUGAAUCUUGUGAUUCGAGCAGCUCAUCUAGCAGCUCUUCUAGCAGCGCCUCUACCAGUUCCUCAAGUGACUCUUGCGGCUCAAGCGAUUCAAGUGACUCCACUUCUUCAAGUGACUCCAGUUCUUCCAGUGACUCUUGUUCCAGCUCUAGUUCAAGUACUUCCAGUAGUUCAAGUUCCAGUGACUCCAGCGAUUCUUGUGGCUCUAGUGAUUCAAGUGAUUCCAGUGACUCUAGUGAUUCAAGCGAUUCAAGUGACUCGUGUGGCACGAGCAGCUCCACCAGCAGCUCCAGUGACUCUAGUGAUUCGAGUGACUCUUGCAGUUCAAGUAACUCGAGUGAUUGAAGCAGCUCAAGCUGAUUCAGAGCAUCAGAGUCAUGUAAAUCAAACAACUCCCCUACUGAAUCAAGCUCCUGAUUCACUGACACAAUAACCUGUAAGCUUUAAUUACUGUAAUAUUGGUUCUUAACAUAUAUUUCAAAACAGUGAUAGCUCUGUUAGAAUCAUACAAUGUUUUCUAGAUCCUUUUUUGUGUUUUAUUGGUGUUGUGUAAGCUGUUAAAUAAAUAUGACUUAAU
rnacentral:lncRNA from 1 species